GCUCCGGUGAGCUAUGGAGAUGGUUCAACUUCCAGAGGCUUUCUCAUAAAUUUUUGGAAUUUUUGAGACACAGAUAAACUUCGGGUGAUCGAGGUCAGCUGUUUUUCUGCAUCCAGCAGCCACAAUAGUCAUCGGUGUACUGCUACAGGAGGAGACAUUUUUCAGAAUAACCUGUCCCUUUCCUCUCAGGUUAUGAAAAGAUUACUUAAUUGUAUUAUUAUUCUCUAAAUUUGUAAAUUUAGGACUCCGCAUGUGCUAGUAGUAGUAUUAAGCCUGUCAGGGACUGUAUGAAUUCAAGUUUUCAUAUUAAUAAAUGAAAAGAAAAAAAUUUUAUGA